rnacentral:rRNA from 1 species
GGAUCAUUAAAGAGUAAGGGUGCUCAGCGCCCGACCUCCAACCCUUUGUUGUUAAAACUACCUUGUUGCUUUGGCGGGACCGCUCGGUUCCGAGCCGCUGGGGAUUCGUCCCAGGCGAGCGCCCGCCAGAGUUAAACCAAACUCUUGUUAUUUAAACCGGUCGUCUGAGUUAAAAUUUUGAAUAAAUCAAAACUUUCAACAACGGAUCUCUUGGUUCUCGCAUCGAUGAAGAACGCAGCGAAAUGCGAUAAGUAAUGUGAAUUGCAGAAUUCAGUGAAUCAUCGAAUCUUUGAACGCACAUUGCGCCCCUUGGUAUUCCGAGGGGCAUGCCUGUUCGAGCGUCAUUACACCACUCAAGCUAUGCUUGGUAUUGGGUGCCGUCCUUAGUUGGGCGCGCCUUAAAGACCUCGGCGAGGCCUCACCGGCUUUAGGCGUAGUAGAAUUUAUUCGAACGUCUGUCAAAGGAGAGGACUUCUGCCGACUGAAACCUUUUAUUUUUUCUAGGUUGACCUCGGAUCAGGUAGGGAUACCCGCUGAACUUAAGCAUAUCAAUAAGCGGAGGAAAAGAAACCAACAGGGAUUGCCCUAGUAACGGCGAGUGAAGCGGCAACAGCUCAAAUUUGAAAGCUGGCCUUCGGGUCCGCAUUGUAAUUUGUAGAGGAUGCUUUGGGUAAAACGCCAGUCUAAGUUCCUUGGAACAGGACGUCAUAGAGGGUGAGAAUCCCGUAUGUGACUGGAAAUGUUAACCUAUGUAAAGCUCCUUCGACGAGUCGAGUUGUUUGGGAAUGCAGCUCUAAAUGGGAGGUAAAUUUCUUCUAAAGCUAAAUAUUGGCGAGAGACCGAUAGCGCACAAGUAGAGUGAUCGAAAGAUGAAAAGCACUUUGGAAAGAGAGUUAAAAAGCACGUGAAAUUGUUGAAAGGGAAGCGCUUGCAAUCAGACUUGUUUAAACUGUUCGGCCGGUCUUCUGACCGGUUUACUCAGUUUGGACAGGCCAGCAUCAGUUUCGGCGGCCGGAUAAAGGCUCUGGGAAUGUGGCCUCCACUUCGGUGGAGGUGUUAUAGCCCAGUGUGUAAUACGGCCAGCCGGGACUGAGGUCCGCG